UUCUUUUAUUGCUUUUUUCUCUUUUGAUGAAUAAAAGAAAAUAUCUACGGUUUGGUCCAUUGUGAUUGAGAUGGUAUAUAAGUUUGAUCCAGUGUGAAUAUUCAUGAAAAAUAAAAAUCAAGCUGAAAAAACAAUUGACAGCCAGUAGGGUGGAAUAUCCUACAAUAUAUGCCGAUGGAACCUCUUGUUUUUAUUUCAGACUUAUCUGCGGGCGGCCACACACCGAUUUUGAGCGACCCAUUUGCCCAAAACCCAAACCCACGUCCUUAAAAACUGCCUAAUCUCAAUCUUCUAUCUUCUAUAUAAAACCCAUUUGCCCCCUUUUUCUUUCGUAUCUGUCGUUGAAGGAAUUGCCUUCGAAAAAGUUUGAAGCUUUUCUGGUUUUUCAUCGUGGGUAUUUUGUUACAGAGUGGAAAAAGAUGUCUGCAGUGGUGGAGAUCUGGAUGAGUAAGCUUGCAAAGUUCAGAGAGAAGGUGCAGGCGAAGAAGCCAUUAAUGGUGUCAAAGCCUAAACCAGUCGCCAAGACAGCAGAAGCUGCUGAGACGAAAGAAGUGAGUAGAUCAUCAUCAGAGGUUCAUGCAGAAUCUACCAUGUCAGAAACUACUGUGUUUUUGCUUAUGGAUCGUUUUGUACCUUGGUGAUAAAUUAGUACUCAACCUGCCAUAAUCUGUAAAAAUAUGUUAAAAAAAAAAAAAAAGGAAACCUCCUUUCUUCUGUAUAAUUCUCGAAGUACAAAGCUUUUGAGAGCUGUGUUUUCUUUUUUUUUCAGGCCAAUGGCAUGAUUGCUGUGAAUAUUUUUUUUCUUCUUUGAAUUAUCUUUUUCCGUGUGCUUGAUUUGCAAAUUUCAACUUUUUGAUUGAGUUUAGUCCGUUAAUAAUUUUGAGUUUCCAAAUAAUGAAUUCAUUUGUUCCCAACACAGCCUGAGUUUCUGUGUUCUUGAUUUGCAAAUUUCAACUUUUUAACUACUGGGUCUGUUGUUCUAUUUAUGGUAUAUAACUUGAAUCCAAGUGGGUAAGUUUGGUUUGGCUGUUCAUCAAUAUUCAAGGCAGGCGCUAUAUAGAACUUGAAGAUGACAAACCAAAUUUGCAAUAUGAAGCACUUUGCUUACGGUCAUCUACAGUUUGGGUGUAUGUAUAACGUUUCACAUCUACACUCAAAUGGAAGAUUAUACUACAGAUGAUUUCAUUGCUAAUGCAUAUGAAUUUUAUCGGUAAUUGCUUGUUGAAUGGUGGGGAGGGUGUGGGUUCUACUCUGUAAAUGUAUUAUUUUAUUAAUUCAAUUUAUGAAUUUCUUCUCGAAAAUAUAAAACUAGUUAGUGUUCUCUGUCCUUCCUUUUCUUUUAAGGGGGAAAAAAACUUUCAUGUUUCAGGACUCUCAUGUUCUCAAAUUCCUCCAUGGUUACUUUUGAAUUUAAAGGGGAAAAAAAGAGAAAAAAAAAAAACAACUUGCUUAGAAUUCUAAUCAAGUAGAAGAAAUGAAGUGAUUGGGGGGAAAGAAAAUUACAAAAGCCAUCUCAAUUCUUCUAAGAAACCGACAAUUACUACAAGAGCAAUGCAAUUGGAAGCCACCUUUUUCCACAUGAUCCAAAAAGCAUAAAAAUCUCAAGCCAUCUGCAAGAUGCAGAUGAACCUCUUAUUAAAUUCUUUAAAAAGAAUCUGUGAGUUUCCCACGUUAUGUCCAUUCUACAAAUAUCUAAGAAAAAAUCUGAAACUUGUAGUCUUCAUUCUCUUGUCCUAUAUAAGACUUGUGUCCCUAUGCUUAUCACAACUUGUUUUUUAGCAGAAACAAACAGGUCUUGAAUAUUCAAGAGGUUGUACUUUCCUCCAUGGUGGUCGAAAGCUCGUUAAAUGAUGGUUCCUCUACAUUCCACUCCAAGAUCUCCCUUGCAUAUUUCAGAGCAUCUUCCACACGGUCCUGCUCCAAUGCUGUUACUUGUGAAACAAACAAGUUAUGUUUGUGCUUGCGGUUGAUUGUAACAUGAGAAGCAGUAAGAGAUUGGAAUAAUCUCUUGAACUUCACCGCGAUAUAGUGAAAAGCACGCUGAGCCAUGGAUGCGUUUCUGUGAUAGCUGAUCACUGGAUUAAAGUCAUGAAACCAUUCGCAUUUGGUCAGAGGAGUAUGCUCCAUCUUUUCUUCGAAUAAGUCAAACUUGUUUAGUAUCAGAAGAAAUUUUUUCCCUGUCAAAGUUGGAUGAGUAACUAUCGUUUCGAAAAGUUGUCUGCUGGCCAACAUUUUGUUUAUGAGAACUCCAUUGCUGUCUUCUGUGAACUCAUCAUAGUCUGUCAAUGAAAUGCAGAAUACCACAAUAUCAACGUCUUCAAACAUUGCUAGCCACUUGCAGUUUUCCCCAAGGCUUUUUGGAUGUACCCUAAUGAGUUGGUACCUGCAUGAGAAAGGGGAUAAAUGGUAAAGUUAUAACAACAGCCAGCAUGUGGUUUUUACAUGACUGAAUUUAUUGUCUAUUAUAAUUUGAUUUAUCAAAAUAGAUGCUAAAAUUUAUUUUUACCGUGUCAAGAGAGUAUUAAUGGAAAAAUUAGUGUGUUAGUGAAGAAGUUAGUGUAUCAGUGGAGAACUUCGUAUGUUAGUCCAGAAAUUGGUGUGUUAGUGGAGAAGUUAAUAUGUUAAUGGAGAAUUUAGUAUGUUAGUGGAGAAGUUAGUGACAAAAAUUGUAUGUUUAUGUAAGACAGCCCAUCCGCAUGUACUGAAUUUAUUUCUUCCUACCUUUAUUUUUUGUUUUGUGAUAUAUAUUUUCUUCUUUCCAAGUGUUUCUUAAAUAAAUUGUAAGAGAGGGAAGAAACUUAGUGACUCCCCCAAGGGAUAAGGAAGCAUACCCAACCUCAUUAUGUACGUAUCUAAAUCACAAAUCUGUAUGAUAGUGUUCAUUUUAGGUUUUUUAUUGUAGUUACCAUGCAUAUACAUAUAUAUUAUAUGCACACACAUUUACCAUUAGAACUGAGAGGAUUACCACUUUGUAAGAUUUGAAAAGGUGUUGGAGUUAAGGUUUGAGAUAGAAUAACACAUUCUUACCUCUAAGAUUCUUCAUUAUCCACAACAUUAGCAAUGAAAGAGUUGAGUGAAUGAAGAGAAGCUAACCUCAGUGAAGAAUCAUGAACAUUAACAGGGUCUAUGGAGCUCUCUUCUGCUGAAUUUGGAAAUGAGAAUUCUGUGCAAGAAAGGCCAUUGGACGAGGCAAUUCCCUCAGCAUACAAUGUGUCCAUAUCAGAAGGCUCAUAGUCUAUUCUUGAAAUCUCAACAGCCUGAGGAGGAAAAUGGGUAAAGAAAUUGAGGAGUGGGAUUCAAUCAACUAAUAGAUAUAAAAAUAAGACCAUUAUAAAUUUAGUAAUUUAGAACAUAUAAUCUCACGUGUUCUAGAAAAUAUGUAGCAAUUAUUGGUAGCAUUUUGAGUUCCCUCCUCCUACUGUAUGUGGCUUGGAUGGCUUUAUCCUUCCAUAAUUCUUCAAUAAAUGGUGCAUAUUCACGACCAGCAGCUGGGAAUAUGGCUUCUAAAUUUCCGGAUGCCAUAACUUUUAGAAGCCAAUCUGAGAAAGCUUUCAGUCGUGGACCAAUUGAAUAAGUUGUCAUAUUCUCAAUCAGGUUUGUAUCACCUGCUGCCACAGUUUUUUCAGACUCUACUCCAAUGCAUAGCAAUUUUCUACUUGUGAGAAAUCACAGUAAAUUAUAAAAUGCUAAAUCUCCAAGACCUUAGACUACAGGCUGAAGAAUUCAAGUAUCUCAAGGUAAAUUUUGUUGCUUCCCAGGAAGAACUUCCAAAACUUUAGUUAGUGACAGUCGAAAUUUUCUGAAAGCAUCAAUUUUACCAAAAGCGUAGAAACAAGAGAAUAUCAACCUGGUAAACUCUGUAAGCAUCUGAUCAGUCAUCCUGCCUUCUGACAAGCUUAUUCAGAAUUGACUAAAUUCAUAAGUUGUCAUAAGGCUUAUAAUUAUAUAAAUCUUAUUUACAGAACCUAAAUUUCAAAUAUUUUAGCUAUAUGAUCUCAGGGCAUCCUCUGUACAUCUUGGCAAAAUCAACCUGAAAUGGUCAAUAAAAAUGAAAAAUGAAGAAUCCUCUCUUUGUUACCUGAAUGACCCGUGUGAUCAACAGACUGUCUUUUCCUCAUCUCAAUCAAACUUUCUUCUUCAAAUCUCUCGCGCCCCUCAAGCAAUAUGCCAAAAUAGUAAUACAAAUUUGUUUGGAUGGUCAACUUAAUACUUUGGCGCUCAUCUUCAGUGAAAGGAACUUUGUACAGGAGCUUGGCCUGAAAUAAGCAAGCAGCUAAAUUAGUGUCACCAAUGUCAAGACAAAAAUUCAAUUAAUGAGAUAAGAAUACCAGGAUGCAUGUGGUUCCAAAAAUGUGCCUCUAUCGCAAAGAUUAACCUAACUGUUAUUUAUGACUAAAGUAAUCCAGAAAGAAUGUGAUUAGAUAGAAAAUAACAGACAAGUGUAACCUAACUGUUAGAUUCUUAACUGUUAAAAUAAAUGUGCAAGGCUUCACACCCUUUAAACUUUUCGCAUGAUGCAAUCUCUGUCAUCCUUGCUAUUUUGUCCCAACAAGAUGCAAGUUCUGUAGCCAAAGAUUAUAUGCCAUUAGGUACUUGCCAUAGUAUUAGAUGUCUCACCUGCUUAUAUAGGGAACUUGUGCCAGAUUUUUUAUAGCCCACCAGAAGCAGUUUCUGAAGUGUUUUCUGACCAAGGUCAUUUGAUGUCACACCAAUUACUUCUUCUCCGGAAGGAUCCACAGAAUGAGGAGGGGUUGGCAAAGACAAAAUAGAACAUACUACCUUUGCUCUGGCCUAUAAAAAGAAAAUCUUUAUUUAUUACCUAUAUAUGAUAUAAUGUGAUUCUUAAGAUGCAAUGCAUGUCUAAAUGUGAACUUACAUUGUCCCAUAUACGCCCUUUGAUUUGUUUCUGCCCCUCUUCCUGGUAAGAUCCAUCUGCACUAACCCAAAAAUGAGGCUUCCCUUCACAUUGCACUCCUGACAACUGCAAAUUUCACCAGAGGCAACAGAGUUGGAUUUUCCCAAAGAUUACAUUUCGAAUGAACAUAAUGGUGUUAAGCUGAAACAAACCUGCAGCAUCAAAUGCUCUACUUUAGUUAUCUCUCUAUUAUUUAUCAUUAUAUUUGUGUUGCCAUUGCUAGCAUUUUUCCUGAUGUUACCCCCAAUACUGAGUUGGGGGCUAAUAAUCUGGGAAGGUUUCUGUCCAUCCUGUUCAAUUAAGCCAGUGUGAGAUAUAACAAUAUGAGCAUCAGCAUUAGAAGUUGAGAAAAGAAAUUGAUGAAUAUAAAAAGCAAAAGCUUAGUAGUGUUUGAUUUUCUUACCUUACCCCAAUAACCAGCUACUUUAUCAUACCAAUAGCUUCCAGGUCUAAGCUUCUUUGGUGGGUUUGAGCAGGUCUGCAAGAGAACCAAAUCUUCCUGACUAAGAGGCUCAUCAUUUACAUAAAUAUGCCUUGAUGUUAACUGAUUUGCUUUGCAUGAUAUCUCACUACUCAUUAUCUGUUUAACUUCAAACUCACUAAGCAGCCGCCUAAGCAUUCUGGAAGGCUUCCCAAGACUCUCUCUCCUUGAUUCACUAAUCCUCUUGCCAAUACAAGUAACACAUUUUCUUCCCUCUGGCAUUGAUCCCAUUGCUCUACGUACACAUUUGUAACAAUACUUUGCAUCACAAACAAUGCAUACCACCUUUUCUGUUAACCGGUUUCCGUUCAAGCAUUUAUAGCAUGAACCUUUUUUCCCUUCCCUCACAGCCUUUGGCUCUUCCUGUAAGCUUUCAACCUCAGAAUACACAGACUCUUCAUAAGUAUCUUCUGUCUCAGGUUCACAGAAAGUAACCACUGAUGGCCUUUUGACAUGAUGGGGAGUCUCAUUAUUGCCAUCUUCCUCUUCCCGGCAAGAGAAAACCUCAGAGGAAAGUGAACCAGAGGUCAAGCCGGAUUCUACUGAUUCAGAAUCAGCAGGGUUCAUGUAAUCCCGAAAUUCUCCAGCUUCUCUACAAUCAUUUCGUAUUUCCACUAUCUCAGAACUCCUUGAGAGUUCACAAAAAUUUUCAUGACCAUCAUUUGAUCUUAACUCGCAGGAACUUCCAGUUCCUUCGUCCGGGUUCUGAUUCCCUCCAUCACCAUUUACACGACCUAAUGCACCUGAACUAUCUACCCUAGUAGACGAAGAUGGUGAUGCUUGAUGAACAAUAUCUUUUGAGGCUUUUUCGCACAAAGGUGGAGUCUUAAUAAUUGGUUGGAUGAUUGGCAAUGACAUAUCAUUGAAAGAGAAGGAAGAUGGAACCGAUGAGGCAAUUGGGAUUUCACCAACCUCCACCGGAACUGCUCGAGGGAUAUCAUAACCCACCGGAGGACCAUGAUACUCCAGAGCAAUGGAGUACUCAAAGUUAUUAUUAUAACUAUCAUCAACAUCACCAUCAUCGUCAUCUUUAGGACGCGGUGGCGCAACAGGAAGAAUUUUUCUUAAAAUCGCUGCCAUCUUCUUACUCCCCAACUCAAGAUUCACCACCAACAAGCCACCAUUCUCAAUCUCACACACCCAUUUACCUAUAAGCCACCAAGACCAAAGUUCAAACACCCAUGGAGGAGAAUCACCGGUACUCAAAAACCCAGACAGAAAAACCCACUAUCUCCACACACCCACGAAGCAAAAGAAACGGCCAAAAAACUAAGCUGAGUAUUCCUUUUGCUCAGCUCAUUCAUCUUCCUCCUCCUUUAUUUUGUUUGGAAUGCGUCAAAAGUAAACAAAUAUGGAAAAGAAAAGGUGAUAAUGGUCCAAUACCGUACUCGUAUUGUUCUUGAAGGUUUUCUUGGAAGGCAGUGAACUGAGAAUUUUCCAGGAAAGUGAUGAAAGAAAAUGAAAGUCGCGUGGUGUCUGUGGGGAUGCAAUAAUUAUAAUAAUAAAUAAGAAAAGGACCCGUUUUCUCUUCCUAGAAAACAUAGAAGACUGGGGAGAAGACGCACUCCACAUUUCAUCCAAAUUUUCUUCCAUUACGUUCCAAGUCAACGCGUUUGAUCAGUCACUAACUCACAGGAAAAUACGAGGGUAGAUGGAGGUUGCAUUUACGUGCAAAAAGGAGAGCAAGUCCAGGGAGAGAAAAUAAAUGAAUAAAACGCAUGCCGUAUUGCCGUUUUGGACUUUCAGGAAGUGAAAAAUGCUCGCCGUUGAAAAGAAAAAUGAAACGCCGUCGUCUUUGAAUGAAAAUGAAAAUCACGCUCUAUCAUAGAGUUGAUUAUUUCAGAACUGAAUAAAAAGAAAAUCAAAAAUCAAAAAAUAAAAUUGAAUUAUAAAAAUUAAUAUUAAAUUAAAAAUGAUGUCAUAAAGCUGAAAUAAAACAAUUUUUAUUCAUUUCAGUUUUCUAAAACCAAGAAAAUAUAUAUAUAUAUUAUUUGACCAAAGAUAUACAAAAUGACUAAAACGUGUUGAAAAUUUUGAUCAUACUUUAAAAUAUUUAAAUAUAUAAUUACUAUAUAUUAUUACAUUAAAUAAAUAUUAUAUUUUAAUAUUUAAAAAUUAUUUUUUACAUAAUAAAAAUAAAUAAAUAAUAUUAUUAUACCAAAUCUAUUUUUUUUAAAAAAAAAAAAAGGAAUUCGUACAUGUCAAUUUUUUGGUACUCUUUAUAUAAUAUUAUAUGAUAUAUAUAUAUAUAUAUAUAUAUACUUUUUGGGUUUGGUUUUCUGAGUCUAAGUCUGGCUAGGUCCAACCUUUCGCAUAAGGCCCAUAAGCAAUACCAAAAACUAAAACUAGACAAAAUCACUUGGUUCAGGGCCUGUAUCUAUAUAUAUAUAUAUAUAUAUAUGUAUGUAUGUAUGUAUGUAUGUAUGUACGUCUAAUUUAAAUAUUAAGUAAAUAUAAAUUAUUUUUGGUAAAUUUUACACCGAAAGUAGCUAAGAUUAUGAUUGACUUCGAGAACCAAAAUUCAUGACUUUUUUUAGUAAAUAAAUAUAAUAUGAUUAUAACCAACAUCAUAUAUUAUUAUUAUGGUAAUUAAUAUGUAAUUAUUUUACCAUAUAUACAUAUAUAUAUAUAUAUCUAUAUAUGCUAAUAUUUAUUUACUAAAAAGUGGGUCGAAUGUCUUUUAUCAUUGCCGAAAGUAACUUCAAUCAAACUUCAAUUUAUAUAAUUACAUUCAAAAUUUAUAAUGGAUUUUUAGUACCAUGACUUAUUUUUAUUACAUGUAACAUCACAAAAUUAUGUUUAUAUAUGCGAAUAUUAUAUAUAAAAUAUCAAUAAUUCAUAUACGUGAUAAAAAUAUAUAAAUUAAAUUAUGUCACCUAUAUUGAAAAUGAUUUGAAGGGUGUAAAGUCUCGAUGAUAACGUAAUUAUAUUAUAAUUUAUUAGUUUAAUUUAAUUUUUCAAUAUGAAUCAAAUAAAUAUUACAAACGAUUGCGUUAAAUUAAAUAAAACGUAAUAAUUUUUAUUAUCUUUGAAUUUUAGUAUUUACAAAUUACAAUUACGACUAAGGAAACAUCCAAUUUCAACCUAAGGAGCCCUUUAAAUAAGAAAGAAAGAAAGGAAAAUUACACCCAAUUUGUCGAACAUUGUAUUAUGCAAUUCACAUGGAGUAAAAAUGUAUGUAUAUAUAUAUAUAUACAUAUAUAUAUAUAUAUAUACCCGUAGAGAUCAACGGCUAGGAGUCUCUCCAAGUUCCGUUACACCAUUUCACCCAACACAAUUCCCUUUUUGAAAUUUAAAUUCAAAAUUUUGCAGAGCUUUAUAAAUUAAAAUUAAUGAUAAAACUUUAUGGUCCAUUCUGAAAAUUCUAUCUACCGACGUGGCGUGAUCUGAUUCGUGCAGACCAUGAUUAUUAGUCUGUGCCGCCCAUACCAAAUAACUUGAACCGCAAGCCAGGAAUCAGGUGGUCCAUGCACGGCAUUUUCUUCGCUUAAACCGUUUUCAAGGGAUCCGCGCGUGGAAUCACCUCCGUCCAACUCGCGUUUCCCCAUUUACUAUCUGGCGCGAUGUAUUUCACGUUCAACUGCUUUCGCGGUUCCUCGUGCUUUGCCGUGAUGCACUAACGGUUAACCUCCCAGCAGCGGCGGCCGGCGCGUCGUUCUCCCGCAAAGUCGGAGCAUGUUCCGACACGCGCCAAACUUUCACUGACUUGUCGAGGCUGCCGCUGUAAACAAUCCACCGUUGGUCGCCUUUAUGGUCGGCAUCACGAUCUUCCUCGACGGUCAAACAUUUGACGGGUCCCGUGUGGCCGGUCAAAACGGAGAGACAGGUGUGAGCGCCGCCUUCGUGCCGCCUCCAGACGCAGAUGCUCUUGUCGGCUGACCCACUGAAUACGAGGUUCCCGGCGGCCGCCAAACAGAGCACCGCCAGCUUGUGGCCGCGGAGGACGCCGCCGUGGGAGAGCUGCUUUUCUCGUUCCCAGAAGUUGACUAGCCCAUCGGAAGAGCCGCAGUAGACGACGGCGCAAGACUGAUUAACGGCCAAUGCGGUGACGGCGUUUUCUUGCUUCAACAAGAUUUGAAACAAGAAAUGUUUCGGCCUUUUUCCUUGGAGCUCCCGCCUCCAAGCUUUCACAGUCCCGUCCGCCGACCCGGUGAAAACCAAGCUAUCAAACCCAGCCACCACCGAGUUAAGCGCGUCCUCGUGAGCGUCUACGGAUUCAAGGCAUUUCAAGUCUGAUAAUCUCCAGACUUUCAAGGUCUUAUCCCAAGAACCGGAGUACAACAAGCCGUGUUCUUCACUCAAACUCAAACAAGAAACCGCAUCGUAGUGCUUGAUCCUCAGAACAUUCCGUUUCCGGCGGACCUCCACGUAGUUUUUCGGAUUGACGGAGCUUCUCACGAAAUCUUUCAACGUGGGCAAGCUCCCUACCCGUUUAUGGUGACCAUUCUUGGCAGCAACCUUCCAUACCCGAAUCUUCCCGUCUUGGUGACCUGUGAAAAUUCUAUCACCGGAUAUCACAAUCGCUUUAACCAAUCCGCUGCUGGAUUUAAAACCCGAAUGCUCCUUCAUAUUUUUCCAAACUCUUAUAUUCUUGCUAUCGGAACCGGUGUACAACAAAUCACCAGAUGCCGCCAGCGAAUAUAUAUGCCCUUCCUCCCGAACAAUCGACCCAAUAAGCCCAUUAUGGUUAAAGUAAUCAUCUUCGUUAAGCAGCGGUGUUGGCGUAAUCCACGGCGACUUGGUGUAUGGAGAGGAUGGGUUCCACGGCGACAAUGUGUAGGGAGACACGUCGCCGCUAGACGGCGCGCCACCGCCGUUCGCGACGUUGUUAUAAUCUCUAGGACUCGUCGCAGAAGAAGAAGUGCUUUUCCGGGGAUUGUUACUAUAAUUACUGUCUUCAUCGUUAUUGGUCUUCCUAAAAAUCGCGGCCGGAGAAUCAGAAUGUUGUAACAAAGCACCGAACUUCUGCCGCUGAUGGUUGUGGGGAUGGAGAUUGUUGUGCUCCACAACCAUCGUGCCACCCGUCUCGUUUCUCAUUCAAAAUAUAACAACUCAAAACUCAACCCAGAAAAGGAUUAAGACUAGCUGUCUGCAGGUUUUGAAAACAAAAGAUCGAUGAAAAAGGAUAAAAGAAACCUAAUUUACAGUAGUAGCGAAAGAAACAGAGAGAGAGAGAUAAAAUGUUUUGGAGGUGACGAGAGUUUCGUGGGAGAAAAUCUGAAAAUGGAGGGUAGCGAGAAAGUUUUGGUUGUUUGGAAGGACUGAACGAGGGAGAGAGGAGUUUAUAUAUACAUAUAAAUGGAGAAUCAGGCAGGUCGGUAUAUAUCAUAUAUGCUGCGGUUGGUGAACAGAGGACGUGGGCAUUUGACACGUGGAAGAGGAAAUAAGACGUAAUCUUAUAGAACCGGAAAACCGGGUCUUCCGGUAACUUAAUAAUUAACAAAAAAAAGUUGGGUACCUACAAAAAUACAAAUGAAGUAGGGAAAGAUAAGAGGGUCCGUGGAAUUUUCACGGCGUUUAAGCUUCGCACUAAACGGGGAAAUCGUGUACUUUUGGGCGUUCUUGAAGGAGAAAGGUAUUUUUGCAUGUGAAAUUUUUUUUUUUUUUUCAUAUUGGAUGUUUGAACCUUCCACUGACGGCAAAAUAUUUGACCGUUUAAAUGGUCAACGGAUAAGUGUACGGGUAUUAUUUGGUAACAACGCAACUAUGCAAAACGACGUCGGUUGCUAUAUUUAAUCUUGUUUUGACUAUUUAAUUUUUCAUGUUUGUUAGUAAUAUUUCAUAAGUAAAAUCAUGAAUUUACCAAGUUAUAGGACCCAAAAAUGCAACUAAAAACAGUAAAAUUUUUGUUAUAACUAAAAUUUUAAAUACAUCAAACCGGACCGUAAUUUUAAUUAAAAAAACAAAAUUUACGUGGCGAAAUAAAUUUUUAUUGUAUUUCUAUGUUUAAUUUGCAUAAAAAACAUUUAAUAUAAUAUAUUAAGAUUACAUAUAUGAUGUUUAGUCAAUUUAUAUAAACAUGUAUAUUCUUUAUUUUUUAUUUAAUAUUUAUCUUAUUUACAACUCAAUAUUAAUAUUUACAUAAAAUCAUAUUAUAUGUUUAUAUUUACCAAUGUUUGAUUAAUUUUAUAUUAUUUGAAUUUAUCUUUUCUAAAUAUAGUAUUUCUAGUAGUCUAUAUUAUAUGUUGAAUAAUUUUUCAUAAUACCCACAUGAUUUGUAUGUAAGUGAUAUUUGUUAAGCCCUUAAUUCAACUUUCCAAGUACAUAUAUCUAUGUACAUAUAUAUUUCAUAAUAUAUGAUAAUAAGGGUAAGUAUUUAUACUUGUAAUAAGCCUAUAACACUCAUCGAAUCAUUUAAAUUUAUAAUAUGCUUAAAUUAUGAAACUUCUAAUAAUCUAAUCGAUGUAUUCCACCAUCAAAUUGAAUUAUGAGAUGAAGUCAUGACCCAUUUCAACUUGCCUAGCUAUCUAAUGACCACGAAUUAAGAGAAAUCAAUAGCUUCAAUUUUGAUGAUGAGUAGCAUUGAAUGGUUGCCAUCAUAGUAUUAUUACAGCCAUAAUAAUUCUAAACAUAAUGUAUGUAUAUAUAUAUAUAUAUGUAUAUAUGUAUAUAUACACAAAUAGGUAUAAGCAUCAUCAAAGGCAUAUGGUGGGUCAUAUACACUUAAACUCUUUUGCAUGCAUGCCCCCUUUAACAUAGUGGCAAACAAGAAAUAAAGUGAAAGCAUUAUUUUGAUUCCUUAAACCUUAUUAUUUUUGUGGUUCGAUCGUUUCCUUAAUGCAUGCACUUGGCCUCGUACAUUUUAGUACUACCAAAUACAUACCAUGAAUAUGAAUAUUCAUUGUUAUAUGAAUAUAAAUUAUAAUACCAUAAAAAAUAAAUUUUAAAUAAAAAUAUAAUCAAACUUAAAUUUAAUUUUUUUUAAAUAAAAAAACGUAUCAACAAUUGAUCAAUAAAUAAUAUUUAAAUAUUAAUUAUAACACGAUACGAAACAAACUUAAAUGAAAGUACAAUCCGACUUAAAUUCAUAAUAUUUUAUAUAAAAAAAAUAAAACGUAUCAAUAUGUGAUACGUAAAUAUAAACUAUAAAAUGGUAUUUAAAUAAGGAUAAACGAAAUUAUAAUUUAACUCGAACUUAUAUAAUUUUAAUUAAUUUAACAUAUUUUUUUUAAUUUAUAAAAUAAUUUUAACAUGAAAAUUGAAAGAAUUGAUUUGCAUACACGGAAGUCACGAGUUGGUGAACCACACGCAUGUACUUCCCCGACCGGAGUCUCAGGUUACCUGACGCGCCAGAACUUCUACUUUCGUUUCACACUGUCUUCACGCGCUAAAAAGGUCAAUCCAAAUAACCUNNNNNNNNNNNNNNNNNNNNNNNNNNNNNNNNNNNNNNNNNNNNNNNNNNNNNNNNNNNNNNNNNNNNNNNNNNNNNNNNNNNNNNNNNNNNNNNNNNNNNNNNNNNNNNNNNNNNNNNNNNNNNNNNNNNNNNNNNNNNNNNNNNNNNNNNNNNNNNNNNNNNNNNNNNNNNNNNNNNNNNNNNNNNNNNNNNNNNNNNNNNNNNNNNNNNNNNNNNNNNNNNNNNNNNNNNNNNNNNNNNNNNNNNNNNNNNNNNNNNNNNNNNNNNNNNNNNNNNNNNNNNNNNNNNNNNNNNNNNNNNNNNNNNNNNNNNNNNNNNNNNNNNNNNNNNNNNNNNNNNNNNNNNNNNNNNNNNNNNNNNNNNNNNNNNNNNNNNNNNNNNNNNNNNNNNNNNNNNNNNNNNNNNNNNNNNNNNNNNNNNNNNNNNNNNNNNNNNNNNNNNNNNNNNNNNNNNNNNNNNNNNNNNNNNNNNNNNNNNNNNNNNNNNNNNNNNNNNNNNNNNNNNNNNNNNNNNNNNNNNNNNNNNNNNNNNNNNNNNNNNNNNNNNNNNNNNNNNNNNNNNNNNNNNNNNNNNNNNNNNNNNNNNNNNNNNNNNNNNNNNNNNNNNNNNNNNNNNNNNNNNNNNNNNNNNNNNNNNNNNNNNNNNNNNNNNNNNNNNNNNNNNNNNNNNNNNNNNNNNNNNNNNNNNNNNNNNNNNNNNNNNNNNNNNNNNNNNNNNNNNNNNNNNNNNNNNNNNNNNNNNNNNNNNNNNNNNNNNNNNNNNNNNNNNNNNNNNNNNNNNNNNNNNNNNNNNNNNNNNNNNNNNNNNNNNNNNNNNNNNNNNNNNNNNNNNNNNNNNNNNNNNNNNNNNNNNNNNNNNNNNNNNNNNNNNNNNNNNNNNNNNNNNNNNNNNNNNNNNNNNNNNNNNNNNNNNNNNNNNNNNNNNNNNNNNNNNNNNNNNNNNNNNNNNNNNNNNNNNNNNNNNNNNNNNNNNNNNNNNNNNNNNNNNNNNNNNNNNNNNNNNNNNNNNNNNNNNNNNNNNNNNNNNNNNNNNNNNNNNNNNNNNNNNNNNNNNNNNNNNNNNNNNNNNNNNNNNNNNNNNNNNNNNNNNNNNNNNNNNNNNNNNNNNNNNNNNNNNNNNNNNNNNNNNNNNNNNNNNNNNNNNNNNNNNNNNNNNNNNNNNNNNNNNNNNNNNNNNNNNNNNNNNNNNNNNNNNNNNNNNNNNNNNNNNNNNNNNNNNNNNNNNNNNNNNNNNNNNNNNNNNNNNNNNNNNNNNNNNNNNAACUCUUAAUUUAAGUAAAUACUUUUAUACUGAUACGGAAAACAACGGUUGGUAAAAAUUACAAAACAAUUAAUAAAACUCUUAAUUUAAGUAAAUACUUUUAACGUUAAAAUAUUUAUUUCUAUGAGUUUUUUAAAAGUCAACUUAUGAAUAUAAGUAACCAAAUAACACCCAUAUAACAUUUAUAAUUUAAUGUACAAGUGAGUAAAAUCAGUCAUUCUCCCUUUUUACUUCCUUACUGGAACUCGUGGGGGUCCAUAGGGAUGUCCUCCUGCUCGUGAACCAAUAUGUAGAUUUGUCAAUUUACCCGGUCGUUUUCAUACUCCGUCCGGUAAUAAGCGUCAAACACAAUUGUCUCGAUAUUCCGUCUUAUAUAAGGUGAACUAUAUCUCCCAAACCCUUUCGUUUUGAGAUUUCUCAAUCCUGUUCGACUGAGAUAAUAUCUACAGUAAAGUUCUCCAUGUACUGGGUUCGUUUAUUAUUUCCCAAGAUACUCAGUAAGCUUAUAUAUAUAUAUAUAUAUUAUCAUCGUCCAAACAACCACAAAUCGCAUAUCAACAUCUCGUUACAUAUUCACAGAUUAAUUAAAAUGAUAUAUAAACAAGCGAUACAGUUUAAUAUAACCGAAUAACCAAGUAACCAGAUAACUAAAUAAAUAGUAUAGGAGAAACUAAAUAGACUAAGUAAUCGAGAACACAUUUUAAACUAGAAAUUUAAUGCACACAAUGAAAUAGUAAACAUCUUAAAUAAUACAGGAAGAAAUAAACAGUAAACCAGAGCAAUUGUAUACUGAGCAGUUCCGGCUCCAUUGGUGAUCUAAAAUUAUUGUUAGGAUUUUUUUAAUUUUCACAAAACAUGAAAUUAUUGAUUAUUAAGCAUCAAUUCACCGUAACAGAGAAUAAGGUGAAAGAUCCUUACUCGAAUUGGUAUUUCGAAAUACUGUACUAUCUACUACGUCUUCUAACAUAUCUUGAAUUACCUGAAUUUUUCAUGCGUAAAUCAAAAUACUCGUCAUAUACCUAAAAAAAUAUCCUAAAAACUCAAAACUAGUGUCGAAAAACCUUUCUGAUCAAUUUUAGGAUUUCAGCACGGCGGUGCCAUCGUGCUUUGGCGUUGGCUCCAUCGCGCUUUAACAUUGGCUUUGCGGCCCACGACGGUGGUUUGCCUCAGCCCAACCGAUUUUUGUCAGUUUUAGCCGGUUUUAUACGUAUCCUUAUGAGGAAACACGUUAUGAAGCCUCAGUUGGCUAAAAAAAAAUAAAAAAACCAAACCUAUGGACUGGGGGGAUUUUCGAGUGCAGCGGCUCAACUAAUUCUCCUUCGCAGCUGGGGUUUUUUAUUCAGGUAACCCGUACAGAAAGGGACGAUGAACACAAUGGUCAAAGAAUUAUGUGAAAUGGAAAAUGGGAAGGGGCUCAUCGGAGGAGUUUUAUGGUUUUGGCUGUAACGACUCUCCCAAAUGUUGCUCUUAGUUUUCAGCUCAUCUGCCGUCCCUUUUGCUCCGAUAUGGCCACAAAGAGACUCUGAAUUGAAUUCUGAGUGGGAAGAAAGUUUUUUUUUACCUUUUUUGGCAGUCGGCGAUGGGUCUGGUGUGGCGGCGGUCGGGGGCUGGUCUUCUUAUCUGCCGAGGGUAUGACAACUAGGAUUUGAGUUUCCCUACGAAGAGUAGUUUAAAUACGCUCUUCUCUUCGAUCCGAGUUGUUUGUUUGCGUCGACGUGGAGCGAGGAGGACCAUUUGAUGGUUUCCCGUUUAGGCUGAAAGCGUGGGCGAAUUCGAGCCGUCCAUCGUGAUCCAUCAUCUAGGCCAUUCACACACGCAUGAUGAGAUUUGGGCAGUCAGAUCGCUGAGCACGCGGAUCACUUGCGUGGUGCCGAUGUCAGCGGGGUUGCCAUACGGCGUGCUCCGGUUCGCCGGGGCUGCUGAUUGGGCCGUCCCACGUUACCAAACUUUUCUUUUUAGCAUUUUAAUUCUCUGUAUCUAAUUUUUCUUUAAAAAAUACAUUUUGAAUUCAAAAUUUCACUCAUUUUUUUCAAAAUUACUUCAAUUUCGCCCCUAAUUUAUUUUUCUAAANNNNNNNNNNNNNNNNNNNNNNNNNNNNNNNNNNNNNNNNNNNNNNNNNNNNNNNNNNNNNNNNNNNNNNNNNNNNNNNNNNNNNNNNNNNNNNNNNNNNNNNNNNNNNNNNNNNNNNNNNNNNNNNNNNNNNNNNNNNNNNNNNNNNNNNNNNNNNNNNNNNNNNNNNNNNNNNNNNNNNNNNNNNNNNNNNNNNNNNNNNNNNNNNNNNNNNNNNNNNNNNNNNNNNNNNNNNNNNNNNNNNNNNNNNNNNNNNNNNNNNNNNNNNNNNNNNNNNNNNNNNNNNNNNNNNNNNUGUCGUUUUGACUCGUACCCAAUAUGCAAUUGCCAAAUAUCUUUGUGUAUAUCAUCAUGUUCUUAACCCUUUGAAGCUUACAAACAAAAGGACAAGCAUAAUAAGAUUAAACAAAUUAAGGGUCCCUCCUCCACUCUUAAUUAACCCAUUUCAAUAAUUCCUUUUGCAAAAAAUUAUUGGGAACCAAAUAAAACAUAAUGAGUAGCUUUUCGAAAACAAUCUGCCUUCAUUCAUUCUACAAUUUCCUAGCCAUACAAUGAAGGACAAAGUAUGGUACAAAUUGAAUAUAAAAGAAGAACAACGACUCUACUUCAAAAGUUUAUUAGCUACACUUUCUCAUGUGUUCUUAAAUUUAGACAUGUAUUCAGAGUAUCUUUUUUUUUUUUUCUUUUUGAUGUUCUGACCAUCGUAAUAAUAUAGAGAGCGACGAGUGACAAAUAAUAUCAUUUAAUUAUUCAAGAGAAUCAAUGUCAAUAAGGUGUAAUCAGUUGUCUUUUGACAAGACAAAGAGGCGCGUAUUCAAGUUGGUUGAGUGGUCUGUAUGAGUUAUCGUUAGAAAGUUGUAUUAUUAUUGUUUGUAUUGUUAUUAAUGUCUAUAUAUAUAUAUCAUUAAAUCAUUAAAAUAAAUAAUUUAUAAUAAAAACUAUUAUCAAUAUGUAGAUAUAAUUCGAUUUAAUAGAAUUUGAUUAUUGCCACCUACUCCUUAUAUAAUUUAAUGGUAGAUACAUUUAUUUAUUUAUAAAAAAAUUAUAAAUUUAAGUUAAAAUAUGCAUCUAUGUAUAUUUUUAUUUAAAAAUUAUUUGUAUAGGAUAUAAAUAAUAUAUGUGUAUUACAUAGUUAAUGAACUUAUAUUUUCUACUAAAGAAAGAUCUUCUUGGUUAUCUUUUAAACACUUAUAUAUUUAUAUUACAUAUAACAAUGAAUUAUCCAAUGAUAAGUGUCCUAUUUAAAAACCAUAUAUAAGACAUAUAGUGCCAUCAUAUAUAAGCAAUGACUCUAGGGAAGCCACAUGUCCUUAAUUCACUAACACUACUCUCGAGUUGAUUGCUGUGAAGUGAGAGUUCACAACCAGUCUUCUAGUCUCUCAAGCUUCAUUCCAAGCUACUCAACAUCACCUGUUUAUUAAUGGCGAUAUUUUGUUUCUGAUGGGCCCCAAAAUGCUAAUUGUUCCAUUGUCGAUCACAAAAAGAAUAUGAGAGAUUCACGAGGAUAGAGUCUAGAACUUGCAGGAGAUACAUAUAAUAUAUAUUUAUAUAUACGGGGAAAGAGAUGAUGAUGAUGAUAUGUUGGUAGACCGUUUCUAGUGCUGUACACUUGGCUUUUAAUCAAUCUGUAACAUGACUCUCAGAGGACCAGUUGUCCAAUGAAAUGAGGUUACUGAUUGUUGAUGACGAAAUUAGGGUACCCUACAAUUUUCCUCUGAAUAAAAAUCACCAACUUGUACUUAUAGCCACCUUUAGUGCUGUACACAUGGCACUGCUUCCUUCUUCUGGUAGGGGUAGGGAAACUACUUCUUCCUUUAUGUUCUGUAUCUUGAAAACAUCAAUAUUCCGUCAAUCUACUACACAACAAUCAGCCACUCGACAAAUACCCAUAUACAUAUAUGUAUAUGGUAUAUGGCAUACAUGGGGUGGAUGGUAUAGACAGACACCCGCAAACAGUACUCGGCUAUCAACCACAUCUCAAUGAUAGAAACUCUUCGUCUCUAUAUUUGUACGUGUAUGUAUACUAGUGUUGGGAUGUAUGCAUGGACUGCCCAAACAUCUGCCACUUUGACACAUAAUAUACACACACUUAUAUUGAUUAGCUAUACAUCAAUCACAUCGUCACAACCCUCACUAUAUAUAUAUAUAUAUAUAUAUAUAUAUAUAUAUCAUGCGUGUAAAAUAUCAUGCAUGUAUAUUUAUUAAUUAAUUCCCAACAGGGGAAGCGAUGAACAUUUUAUAUCUCUGAUAACUUGACGCUUUGUUAACCUAAAAUUUUGAUUUUCAUGUAGAAUAAAGGCCUUAUACGUAGGGAUGUUUUUCAUGUUUAUAGUAUAUGUAUAUGUAUACAUGCUUAGUAGUAACAUAUGUAUAUAUUCAUACACUAAAAUAAUUGCCAACAAAUUAUUAAUUUAAUAAGAAAUGAACAAUAAACUAUUGAAGUUUAUUUCAAAAUUAUAGAAAAAAAUAUUAUUUUACCCAAUUAUUUAUUGAAUUUUUAGAAAGAUUCAACCAAAAAUUAAAAACGAAUACAUUAUCUUAAAGACAUCCCGAAAUUAUCCGGAUUGAAAUAUUAUUUUUUAAAUUAAGUUUUGAAUUAAUAAAUACUAUUAGAUCGAAUAAAAUUAGUAAAAAAAAAAACAAAAAAGAAACUCGUAGAAUCACAUAAACAAGUAAGAUUUUUGUAUAUUUUCAUUAAUCCAUAAACAUUAUUUAUAUAAAUACAUACAUCCAUUGGUUUAUAUAUGAUUUGACAUGAAAUUAUGUCUUUGAAAAUGAAUUUAUUUGAUUUAUUAAAAAAAAAGAUAUGUUUUUUUAAUUAUAAUAUAAAUUUUUAUAAUUAAUUAUAAAAAAAAUUUAGAAUCAAUCAUCUUUAAAAAAAUUCGUAAUAAUUUACUGAUCGAGCGCUCUUACGUCGAAAAUAAACGGAACUAAGUAAUCUAUUAAAAUUAUAAGAUGUAAAAAUGCAUCGAUAGGGGAGCGUUCUACGAAAUACCCACGCAAGCGAGGGUGGACGAAGCAGAAGCAAGAAUGUCGGUUUAAGUAAAUUAAACAUUAAUGAAAACCUGAUGCUCCGAAACCCUAAAGGUUCCUCCGCAAUGUUUGAUUAUAACAUUAUGGAAAAAAAAAGUUUAAUCAACAACAAAAAUAAAAAAAUUUUUUAAAAAUUAUUUUUGUCUGAAAAAUCAUUUUUUUGUACUGUUCAUUAAUAAAUUUUUAUAUGGGUAUGAUAAUAAAUUUCAGGUUUAUAAUUGAUAUAUAUAAUAUAUAUAUAUAUAGGUUUGGAUGGGACAAACUAAACCCUAAAUUUGACAUUAUUGAAUUGUGGUUAUAAAUGCUUAGCAAGUAACUUGUCAUCUUGAUGUUGUAGUCGAGUUGAGUUUGCAUUAAUUUGUAUGUCUCGACGUGUAUGGUAUUUAUGCAUUACCCAUGGAUUAUAUAAUAUAUUGUAAGCAGUUGUUGGACUAGUUCAAUUAUUGGGUUUUUUAUAAAAUAAAUAUAUAUAUAUAUAUAUACACACACUUAAUUAUAUAGGUGAUAUAUACACACACACACACUAUAAUUAUAACAUAUUUUUUCAACAAAAACAUAUGAAAAUGAGCAUUUCAAUUCCAACCCAUGAUUUAUUUUUUAUUAAUUAAAUUAUACAUAUACAAUAAUCAUAAUAUAUUAUUUCGAUGAAAAUAGUUCAACUCAAAUUUAUAUAUUUUUUUAGAUAAAAAUACAUACAUAUUUUAUUAAUUAAAUUGUCAAAAAAGAAAAUCUAUGUAUAAGUACUGAUACAUUCGUCUAUUUUUCGUUAUUUAACCGUCUAUUUAUUAUAAUUUAAUUUUUUAUAAUUAUUAAUUUAUAAUUUUAUUUAAUCACUUGUUUAUUAUAAUUUAAUUUUUUAUUAUUUUAUUUUAAUUUUUUAUAAUAAUUUAUAAUUUUUAUAAUUUUCACCAACUAAGCAUAAUCUUGUGCUAAAGGCUGUGUUUUUAAUGGAUGAUAUGACAUCGUUCAAUUCCUUAUCUUUGCCUGUAAAAUUGCCAAGUCAAACACUUGACAUCGUUAAGUCCCUUAUACUUGUACUGAACACCCACACCCGAGGAAUGGUCAGUGGAGGGCACCACAUAAUUAUGCUUAGGAAUUUAAUUACCUAACAAUACUCCGCCAUUGAUAAACACCUGCAACACAGUUUGUUGGAAGUUGAUUCAAAAUUAUGAAAAUUAUAACGAUUAAAAAAAAACUAAAGUAAAAUAACAGUAAACUAAAUAAUAAUAAAUAAGCAUCUUCUUUGUGCUAGUUUAAUGUUUACUCCUGAUUUACAUUUAUUCUAAUAAGGACCGGUGUUAAAAAUUUGAUCUGUCAGUAUAUUCUUGAUCCAAGGUUUGAAGUCCUGGCUGUUAAAAAUUCUCAGUGAUUGAUGAAAACUAAUUCUUUGUUUGUGGCAGUGUUUGCUUUUUUUUUUUUGGUUCUGCUUCAAUUUUCCUUUAAAAUUAUGUUUUUCAAUUGAAGUUUGUAGGCAUAAAAUCUAAACAAAGUCUUAACUUAAAUGAUUGUUCAAUAGGGGAUGCUUCUUGAAUUUGCCAAGAACUUGGCAAAUUUUGCUGCGAGCAGUGGAAAGAAGCAUGCUGUUGUGCUUUCCAGCUUAGACUUUGGGAGGUGGCAGAAAAUUGACAUGUCAAGGUAUUCAUAGCAGUAUCCUUCUUCUCACCUGCCACUUCCAAUAAGCCUCAAUAUUCAGAAAUCUCAACUUGGUGUACCCUUGUCAAUUGUUUAGUAGGGAGAUCUGCAUCAUAGGCACACCUGUUAAAUCUCCAUAAAUUUGAAAGUGCAAGUAAAACUAGGUUUUACAUCUAUAUUGUGGAAUGGAUAACUAAGGUUGUUCAUUAUGAUCUUAUGCUUGAGAUUUGGUUCCUUAUUAAUGUUUUAAUCUACGUGGAAAGAAAUUGUGCAUAUUGCAAUAUUUAACAGAAUCAUAAAUUUUUGGGUGCUGAUUAACUCUCCUGAUCAUGGCAGAAUCUGCUCAGCCUUUUCCUUCUCAUCCAUCUGUUUAAAAUUUCUUGGAAAAAUUUUGCUAGUGUUGUCCAUUUUUUUUUCAUUAAAACAGUUGUCCGGACUCUCUGCCUCUCUCUGCCUCUCUUUGUUCCUCAUUUUGUCAUCACUUUUUUUUUUUGUUUUUAUUGAGGACAUUGUAAUGUGGCUACUCAGCCAAACCAUCANNNNNNNNNNNNNNNNNNNNNNNNNNNNNNNNNNNNNNNNNNNNNNNNNNNNNNNNNNNNNNNNNNNNNNNNNNNNNNNNNNNNNNNNNNNNNNNNNNNNNNNNNNNNNNNNNNNNNNNNNNNNNNNNNNNNNNNNNNNNNNNNNNNNNNNNNNNNNNNNNNNNNNNNNNNNNNNNNNNNNNNNNNNNNNNNNNNNNNNNNNNNNNNCUAGUUGAAGUGGUUCAUUGUCAUGAGAACAUUUUGAACGGAAAAGAACUGCAUUGGAGAAUUAAUUGCGCAAGAUAUAAGAAAAAAUGGACACAAUUGAAACUCACUUGAAUAGAGCAUCUUCCUUUGCUCAGGCAUUUUGAGUGAACUGCUGGAUUUGCACUUUUUACAGUUGAGUUUUGUUAUGUGAUUGAUUGAUCAUUUGGUUCUUAUUUUAGUGGGCCACAGAUUUAUUACCUAUCAACCACAAAUCCUGAUGGAACAGAUGACUACUGUGAACAACUUGGAUAUAAAAGGCUGCAGGAAUAUAACCCGUCUCAGAGGUGUUGGAAAUAUUUAGAUGCUGUAGUGGAAGAAAAUGCUAUGCAGGACAAGAGUUUUCCCUUCGAAGAUGAACCAGAAGAAGAAGAUUUUUAUCCAAGUUUGCCUUUUGCUUCCCUUUUCUCAUCGUUCAAGGUUUGUUUUUGGAAGAAUAAUUAAACAUCUCCUCAACUAUCGCCAUUUUAAAUUAUUACCUUUUUAACUAGACUGUAGUUUAUGUUUUAUUGAACUUCACUGUUUUUUUUUAAAUUUAUUGUCCUUGCCGCCUAACAGGUCCGGAUUGGAGCUUUCAUAUGUUAAAGAUUGGAGGUGUCUGUGCUGUAUUUAUUGUUAAUAAACUUAAUUAAUCUACAUCGGAGUUAGUGUAGAAAAUAAUACAACAUGCAGAAAAGUUGAGUCAUUUUACUUUACAUAACGGGGUAGAAUAUGAUACUUUGUUUAAUCCCAUAGGGAUGAUUAGUUUAUGCAGGGAACAUUAGCAGACUAAUGUCUAAUAACAAAUUGUUUCUUUGAUAUCAAAUCAGGCAAAAGGGUUGAAGGUUACCUGCUUAUUUUGUUACUGCUCGGAAGGUGACAAUAUUCCUGAUGCCUUCCUUCUGGCUGAGGCAGCUCGGAAAUUUUUGGGUCUGAAUCUUGAUAAUUCUCAUGGUAAGUUUCAUAUUACUUCUGCAAGGAAGUAAAAUCAUACCCUAGCUGUAAUGCAAACUACAGUGUUGUUGCAUGUAAGUCACGUUUGCUAAUAACCAUUCUUCAGGGGAUGAGAGUACCAGGUGGCUUAUACCAUGUUCGUGGAAGACUGUCUACGGACCACCUCCUGACCUGUCCAUAUUUUAGGGAUCACAGAGCUGAACCGCCCGACUUAACAAGAACAACGUGGUCUUUUUCUUUUUCUUUUUCACGGUUAUCCCAUUCUAACAUUUAUAGUUGACUGCUCUUUCAGUUUACUUAUUUAUACUAUGUUUUCGCCAUGUUGCGUUUCGUUUUCUUGACUUCUGGAUGAUGGUAGAUAAAAAGUUCUACUCCUCCAUUAAAGCCUUCAUUCUGCAACUCCAUGACUCGUUCCUCCCUCUUUUUAGAGCCUAGUUGUGUGACCGAAGACUAUAAGGUUCUUCACAGAGUGGGGAAGAUGGCAGAUCAUGCUUUCUGGUCAAAUGGUGAGAGUCACAUCAUCCAACGGCGGAGGGUAAGCAUUUCCGGGAUUUGAUCCGCCGAUACUGGUUCCCAGGCUAAUGUUGGCGGAAACGUUCUUUCUUUAUUUCCGAUUCGCGCCUACCCUUUGUUAUGUUGAAGCCAUGGCUGAGGCAAUUAAAUGCAUUCUGGACACCCUUCGUUAAAUUUCCUACUGUUUUAUGUAGCUACUGCAUUAAUAUUGCAUGUUUUUUUUUUUAAAUAAUCAUUUUAGUAAUUCGCUUUGAAGAAAUUAGAAAGAAAAUAUAUAUUUUUUUUUAAUUAAAGGAUUUAUUUAUUAUAUGCAAUGAAUUUUCUCUAACUUUAUAAAUAUAUAUAUAUACAAAGCUUAAGUGUACAAUUUAUUUGAAUUUUUAAGGUAUAUUUUAUAAAUAACACCAUGUUUAUAUUAAAAUUAAAAAUUUAGAGAAUUUAUUCGUAAAUUUAUAAUUAAUUCAAUUAAAAAAAUAAAUAUUAUUAAAAGGGUCGGUGUUGAAUUUAAUUUUAAAUUAUGUAAAAAUCAACAAUUAAAAUAUAAUUAUGUAAUUUGCUAAUUCUACAUCCUUUUUCCCUGGAGAGUUCAUCAAUCAGUCGGUAGGUUUCCAAAAAUCCAGAAAUACUCCACGUGGAAGUCAAUAUCUGGAAGCCGACAAGCGGAUCGUUUCUGGUCGUAAUCUCCCGCUGUCCUGCUCACAGCCAUAUCUGGAGCUUCCCCAUUGGUUUAUUCGCCAAUCCACACUCUUGUUUGCGUCUUCGCGCAGUAACCAUUUUUUGGAUUCUUUCUGAUUUGUAUUUUGACUAUAACCAGUUUUUUUUUUGUUAAUUUUUCCUCAUCUUCUUUAGGGUCUUUCUGGAGAUAUUUCUGGAGACAGAGGAGGGUUGAAGAUGGCGAAAAGUUACUUAGCAAUGAGGGAACAGCAAGAAGCCAGUGAUUUGAUCGCUGCUGAUCUGCAGGCUCUUGUGGUUUCUGCCAAGAAGCUGGCGAAUCAUGCGAUCAGGCUCGGUGGGUUGGGCUUUGGCACCUCUUUUCUUGAGUGGCUCGCUUCGUUUGCCGCCAUGUAUCUAUUCCUCUCUCUCUCUCUCUCUCUCUCUCUCUCUCUCCAGCUAUCUAUAUACAUGUGUCUGUAUAUAUACUUCUAUUUAUGUGUUUAAUACUCUGGUUAAGUUAAAUAUGAUUGGAGUUGAAUUCUGUCUGAAAAGGGUAUUGAGCUUUAAUACCUCAAAGUUGAUUGCUUUUAGUUUCAUAACACUUUUGUUAAUUUUUUUUAAUUUUUUAUUAAAUUAAAUUACAACAUAAGUCCAUCAAGAGACGAUUCUGUAUACGUGUACGUAUAUACGUAUGCAUAUUAUUUAGCAGUAAUGAUUAAUGAAUCUUCUAGCCAGUUUAUUUUGCAGAAAGGUUAAAGAAAAAAAGCUCUUUCAAAUUCCAUGAUGAGUUUACUUCAACCUUACUUGCAUAAUUUUCUUUUGUUUUUUUUUUACAAUUAUCUGAAAUCUGAUUUAUCACACUAUUAUUCUUCUUUCUACUGCAGUUACUUGUUGAUCUUGGAUCGGACAAACUGGAGAACAAACAUCCUCACAUCGCUACUCAUCCCCUACAUUUUCUUUAGUCUUCCUUCAAUUCUCUUCGGCCUCUUCAGGUCAGACUCUUUUCUUUCUGUGAUUUCCACACCCAUUACUUAUUUAUAAGCUUUAAUGCUGAUAUCAUGCUUAAUUUUGCAGGGGAGAUGUUGGGAAGUGGAUUGCUUUCAUUGCAGUAGUCUUGCGUCUCUUUUUCCCGAGACAUUUCCCUGGUACACCAUUCGUUUCAUUGCCAUAACUUGAUCAUUUCUCAAACAAAUGUUUUUCCUUUAAAUCUUUCAUGGGAGCUAAUCACUGAGAUGGAAUGUUGUAUAUGUUAGUCUACUUUAUUAGUGAAGAUAGUAUAAGAGUUGGAGAUCUGAUCUUUGAAUUUUUACUGGUCAAGAUGCCCUUCUUUCGCAUUUAGCUUGGUGUUAGUCUAUCUAUGAGAAAUAUAUCGGACUCUAUAUUAUCUACAUGAACUUUAUAAAAAUCAACUUUAUAAUUGUUGAGAAAAUAAAUCCCCAGUAAGCACACAAUCACACAAAAUAAAGAGAAAUAUAAAAAAGAUAAAAUUUAACGUGAUUCAACAAGUACGGCUACAUCCAUGAAUAAGAUCGAAAUUUUUUUUUCCACUAUAAUAAAAUAAGAAUAAAUUAACAAUAAAAUUAUAAAUUCUAAUAUAAAUAAAGUAUUAAGGUUUUCACAUAGAAUAUAUACAGAAUAUUUCAUGGAAUAUACGCAAAAUAUUUUCAGAAUCAAACCACGUCAGCACAACUCUAUAAUUUUAUUAUGAUUGUAACUGCAGAUUGGCUGGAGCUGCCCGCGGCUUUGAUUCUUCUGAUAGUUGUGGCUCCCAGCAUAUUCGCGAGCAACUUUAGGAGCAACUUGGUUGGUGUGGCGAUAUGUCUUGCCAUUGCGUGUUAUCUGCUGCAGGAACACAUCCGGGCAUCUGGUGGGUUCAGAAAUUCCUUCACAAAAGCAAAGGGUGUAUCAAACACGGUUGGCAUAAUUCUUCUGUUUGUCUACCCUGCCUGGGCAUUCAUAAUUCACUUCCUGUAAGUACACAAGUAUUGGUUGUUCCAUUUUCAGGUCUUGUCUUUGUGUAAGUUCUCUUCUUUAUGGUAUUAAUUUUCUGUGACAUGCCGGAUUCAUUGCCAUUGUUGCUGUUGUCAAAAAAAGCUUGAUUCUUAGAGUGCGCUUCUGUCAAUUUCACAACAUUUUAUUGCGUGCAAAGCCUGAAAUAUGGUUCUACUAUGUCUGAUCUCAUUAAUUUCAAUAAAACCUUCAUAAAUAUUUUAUGUGAUUGCCACCAAAUAAGCUCGAAUUCUGUUUGCUUGAGGAUCUGAUUUCUGGGUAUAGUUUUCUGCCUGCUGAGGAACCAGAAAAUAUAGUAGAAAUACAGAAUUUUCUGUUUUCGUCAUGGAUUACUAAUUAAAUUCUCGACAAUGUAAUGUAACAACGGAAUGGUAGAUGGCAAACAUCUGCAUCCUCUUCAAAUUUUGAAAGAGAAACUCCAAUGGUAUUUACAUACUACUUUAUGAAGAUUAACAUACACGUAACUUUUCGUGAAUUCUACAAAUUUUCACUUUGUAGAUUCUCAAACAAGAUGAAACAGGAAUACAAAGUUAUUUUCUUCGAAAAGGACAGAAACUUGUAUAUAUGUGUGUAUAUAUAUAUAUAUAUCAGUAUAAGUUAGUCUUCUUGACCUGUCUUCAUGCCUUCAAUCCCUUGGCUUCUCUGUAUAGUUGAUCAAUGUGAUCCUGCAGAUGGUAUCAAAGCACGAGAAGCUUAAAAUCAGAAAUACUUUCGCCUUGAUUAUGAUUAUAAACAAAUACCAUAAACAUAAUCCCAUGGCCAAGUUUAUUAUAGCGUGCAGACAGAAUAGAACCUUGUAAUAUUUAAGCAGUUGAGGCCUCUUCAAUUUAAAUGUUGGAGUGAUCAAAUCCCUGUCUAUGUCAAAUGGAAUUGGUUCCAAAUGUACAGCUUUUAACAUCUCAAAACCUCUUAGCUGCAGAAACGGUCUGUAAUGUUAGAUGGGGAAAAAACACUUAGCAGAAUUGAAAGACGAUCGGGGAAUUGUCUGAAAAUUAUUUGACAACGUACAUUCUGUUCACGACCAGUGUUAUUAAGCUCAUCCAAGAUGUGUUUCCUGGCCUUCAAAUUUUCGCAUAAGACUUUGAAAUCAACAACCUGUUUAUUGUCUACUGCCCAAUCUUCAAGUGAUCUUUGAUCAGGGACUACAACAGCAACCAGAAACGAUUCAAAGCUAUUUCCGUACACCCAGAUCUGUGCAUGUGAAAUUAAAUGUUGAAGUUAGCAGAGAUGAAAAGCUUCAACUGAGUUUUCGAGUCAAUUUGAAUAGUAUGCUGUAAAGUUUAUCAGAAACUUACAGAUGUGACGAAAGGGCAUCUUGAGUACUUGUUUUCAAUGUUCUCCACAGCAAUGUAUUCACCCUGAGAAAGCUUAAAUAUGUUCUUUUUUCUGUCAAUGAUUUUCAUUGAUCCAUCAGGCUGCCAUUCUCCGAUAUCACCUGCAAACUUUCCCUUGAAUUUCUCCCAUAUAAAUGAAGGGGGAGAACAAAAAAUAAGAAGAGAGAAAAGGAACUAUUAAUUACCUGUAUGAAACCAGCCAUCUAUAAGGACUUCAUCAGUUAAAUCUUGUUGCUUGUGGUAACCUGAGAAGAUGGUGUUUCCCCUCAAGCAUAUUUCUCCUCGUGGCGUGCUGGAAAGUGCAUCAUAUCCCAUUUCUAGCACUGACUCGAGCCUUGCUUCGAUGGUGGUCAUGGGAACUCCAACAGUUCCAACCAUGGAUAAUACAUUGGCUAUAGAUGCAAAGGAUCCACCACAACUUUCUGUGAGACCUAUUACAAGAACAUCACAAGUAGGAUGGAAAAAACAUUAGUGCAGAUAGAAAUUUUAGCAGAUUUUUUUCUUUUUAUUAUCUGAUUGUUAUAGCGAUAGAAGGAAAAGGGUAUCAUACCAUAUCCCUGUGACAAAUUAGAGCAUGAGAUGACUCUCAAGAACUCCUCCACUUGUCUUGACAACGGAGCUGCACCCGAUAAAAGGAUUUGCACUCGUCCUCCUAAUGCUUGUUUUAUCUGACAUAACCAAUGCAGUGUUUUAAUUUCAGGAAGAAAAAAAAUGAGAACUAGUAUUAGAUCAGCAAAAAUUUAUUAGGUCUUCUUGAAGUAUGAAGGAUUGUUCGGGGGACUGACCUUGUCAAAGACAAGCCUGUCGAAAAAUGGUGAAGCUUUAUCAUGUGGUAAUCCAUUUUUCAUAUUUUGAAAUUUGCUGUCAGUAGCUUCUCCAUUAGUAUUGCAUUUUGCAGAAAAGACAGAUACAUUAUAUGGGUUCAGUAUUGACUUACUAUCUAUAUGCAUAUUCAUACAGUUUUCUCUGCAGCAAACCUGCUGCUGAAAUUUUCCCAUUCACACCUAAAAGCACAAAAGCUUCAGUGCUUAAAAAAUUUCAGCAACAAAGAUUAACAGCUUAACAAUGUGUAUAUAUAUAUAAUACCAUCAUAUAUACGAUCAUAAACUCUUGGAACAGCGCAAAGUACAGUUGGUUUCAGUUCCUGAAGAUCGUCCAUUAAGUAUCGAACAUCCUGAAGAUCAAUUUACAUGGAUAGAACUCGGGAAUCAAGAUUAAGUUGAAACAAAAUAGAAUUAUUAAAGAGAAAAAGAAGGAAAUAUGUGAAUCUGAAUCUUACCCCACGCCAAAACCCUAUUGAGGAACCCUUGUACAUGAAGUAAGUCUCCAUAAUCUGAUCAUAGAUAUGAGCCAGAGGAAGGAAAGAGAAGUAUGUAUCUUCUUCUGUACACUGCAACAGGAAGAAAAUAUUAGUAUAAAGGAUAUAUGCUUACACACACACACACACACGGAUAUAUAGUUAUGAUUUGAACUUGUUACCACUCUAUCUGUGACGAAAAGCAUUUGGUCUAUAGAUAGAACUUCGGCCAUGACAGCAGCAUUUUUCAAGAUUACACCUUUAGGCUCUCCUGUUGUUCCACUAGUGUACAUUAUUGUGCAGAUAUCAGUCUUUUUUUUAGGAGGAAGUUCACAUUCCAAAUUUCCCUGGUCGAUAUGGUGGAUUCAAGGGUAAAUGCUUAUAGAAAUUGAACCCACGUUCAUGAAUCACAUAUACAUAUACAUAAAUGAAUAGACAGAUAUAUGUGUGUGUGUAUUUUACCAGCUGAGAAAACUCAUCCCAAGAAAAAAGGGUUACUCCAUGUUCUUCAGCUUCCUUCUUCUCUGCGCUAGAGAUACUUGUAAAGCUCACGAUAGCUAAUACAGAAUGAAAAAAAAAUUAGUCAAUAUUUUUAUCGAAUGUUUUUUAUUCAACUCUCAAUUGAUAAAUUCCGAAAGAAAAUAAUUGAAAUAUGAAAAUCAUAUUGAAAUUUCACAUAAAUUAAGAUAGGAAUAUAUGAGAAUUGGAUCGAUCCGGGAGUACAUUAGACUCACUUUUUAAAUAGGAAGAACACUUAGUCAAGGAGGAUAGAAUCUGAAAAACAAAAAUUAGGAAACCAAGCAGAAGUUAGAGAGGCUUGACGAGGUAAUUAAAAAGUUAAUCUAAAUCGAAUCAACUUCGUUAAAAUAUAAACACGAGUGAAGUAGAGAGAGUACGGAGGGAAUUUUUUUCUCUUGAACGAAGACGAGAGAAAUUUCAGCAUGAUUAAUGAUGAAUUCCACCGCGUUAGCACCUGUUAUUAUCAAAAAGAAAAAAUCAUCUCAAGUUAAUAAUCUUGAUUAAGUUAAUUGCAAAUACUCUUUAGGUCCUCAUUCACUAAUUAAUCAUCUUAAUUAACCUACCGAGGGUAUCAUAUAGUGGUACAUAUGUUAUGGAUUGACUAUUGCAAGCCUGCAAUAAAUUGAGAAACCCAUUUUAGAUUACAUCUCUAACCUCGAUCUCGUUAUAUAUCUUUCUGAGAUAUAUAUACUUAUUUUUUGGUACGUAAAACUUGUGAAGUUUUUACCUCCAUUGUCAUGAUCCAUUGAGGGCAAUUGGGUCCGUAUAUCCCACAUCGAUCUCCCUGUAAAAACAAGGUUUGUCAACUUCAUAUCCUCAACCAGACGCAAGUAUAGUAUUAUAUACAUGUUAGUUUUAUAUUCGAGUAAAUUACAGGAUUCACGCCACGACUUCUAAUGGCUGACCCGAUCCGAAUAACAUUGUCGUAAACUUCUUGAUAUGUCAUCCACACGUAAGGUCCAACUUGCUGAAAGUGUUCCAUUCAAGCUAAUUAGUAUGUAAGGAUCUUUUUUCUUUUCUGUUCUUUUCUUUUGUCUCUCGCCAAAGUGAGUUCUUGGGUUUGCACGGAAGUUUAUUUUCUCAGGAGCCAAACAGAGGAAGAGGAAGAGAUGUACCUUUGAAUCGUUGGCUUGACGUCGACCUAGCAUCUGGUUAUUUGGGUUCCUUUUGACUGAUUCACUGCAGGCAGUAGCAGUCUCUUCAGAAGGGAAAUUCAACUGUGAAUUUUUUUAACUACGAAUGAUAGAAAUAACUGGCCUAUUAGCUCAGUUGGUUAGAGCGUCGUGCUAAUAACGCGAAGGUCGCAGGUUCGAGACCUGCAUGGGCCAUUUUUUACUUUUUUUAUUCCUAUCUUUUUUUUUUUACAUUAAGCUUUAAAAUUUAUACUCUGAAAUUUUAAAAGAUCAGCCAUUUGAUUCAACAAUGAGAACUUGUUUACAGAGCACAUCACUCAUCAGAUCCGCCGGUGUAAGAUUUAAGAACAAAUCCACCUCAUUACAUACAUAAAUACAUACAUAUAUACCACACAUUUGCAGGAUUAAAGAAGAUGAAUGAAACUAAAAAGACCCAACAUCUAUACAUACAGGAAGAAUUUUCAUUUGCUUCAUCAUUUAUGCUAUUGACACUGUAAAAACAUUAGCGGCAUAUACUAAUUCUAACAGUAUUUGAUAUUAUACUCUAUGACAUUAUAUUUGUACCAAAUGGGGAUGGAGCAUGAGAUUCACCGAGACUGAUCUUAUAUAUAUAUAUAUACCUGAAAAACUGCCAUGGAGAUUCCAUUCCAGCAGGCAGCUCCAAGAGACCAUCUUUAGCAUAAAUGCACCUGUAAACCGGCCCCGCCGCCGGUUUCUCCUCCGUGGCCGGCCUUCCCUCCUCAACCUUAACUGUGUAUGCAGCUGACGCCGACAUUAUCCUCACUUUUAAACCUCACACACACUGCUCAGCUUCCAGCAAUGAAGAGUUACUACACUAACAUAUAGACAUAGAUCAUAGAUAUAUAUAUAUAUAUAUAUGUCUCUAUCCUGACUAGCUUAUAAGAUUAUAUAUGUUUAUUUAUAUAUACAUAGGAGAAGGGUGAAAUAAGAGAAAAGAGCCAGGUAGACUACUGGCGGUGAUGGUGGGGGAGGUUAGUUGAGCUGAGCUGCACCAAUAAAUUCAAAGUGGUUUUUCUACGAGAAAAAGAAGAUAGGCAUAUGGGAGUUAUUAAUGUGAGUUAAUGGCCUGCUUGUUUCCACUCUUUCUUCCUGGGUGUGUGUGAGAAUUUGAUGUGCAGCAAAUACAGGUGUGAAAAUGAAGAGACAAGGUCAGCAAACUUCUUCAAAAGAAAUAUUUCCCAUGCACGGUGGAUUACAGUUGAGUUUGGUGUAGUAUCGUUUUUAAUCGCUUCACGAAAGGUUAUGGAAUUAGUGUUUGCUAAUUCUAAUAACUUCAAGAGUUAAACUAAAAAUAAAGUUUGAAUCUUUCGGUGGGUUGGAAAUAAUAAAGUAGUAAUUUUUUGGGGUGGCCAUAUGGAUGACUUAAUUGAAGCAAGCCAAAGUUGGUGUGAGUGAAAUUGGUAGGGUUGGGUAUGACAAAAUCAAUUUAAUGCUUGACCUAGAAAAUGGAGGUGACAAAUGCUAAAUCCCAAUACAACUACUACUCACUCACUCACUUGCUUGUUUCUUGUUUCUUCUUUAGUGGGUGUUUGGAGAAAUCUCGUAGUUUCAAAUUUUAUAUUAAAUACGAAAAAAUUUAUUUUAUAACUGAUGUAUAACGUUUAAUUUCACGAAACUAAUAAUUUAAUUUAACUUAAUUAGUUUGUUGAUGAGAUUGGACGACGAAAUUGAAUUAAGUUUCGUAACGAUUUAAAGUUCCUUCGUUGACGUACUACUAAUCCAAUAUUUCUAAGCACGAAAUAGUUGUCUAUGGUUGCCCACAAUAGGAAGUAAAAUUGGUUUUAAAAAAGAAAUUAUUCACAUGAAUUCCUUUCCCUUUGUAUUCUUUUAAAACUUUUUUUUUCUCCACCCACCAAUCUACCCCACGAGAACAAUGAAUUUUGAACAUCUUUAUUUUUAUUUUAUUUUAUUUUAUUUAUUUAAAAUUUAUAAAUAUAGUUUCUCAAUCCUCUCACGAAUAAAUGUUAUGAAAUUUACCAUUUUAUUUACUAUUAUUAUUAUUAUUAUAAAAAUACAAAAUAUUUAUAGUAUCAAUUGAAAAAAAAAGUAAAUUUUUUCUUUAAUGGUAAGAGUAUUUAUGAACAAUUUUUUCGUGCAUAAAAAAGAGAAAUUUUAAUAAAUAAAUAAAUAUAAAAUUUUUUGAAUUAUGACAAUAACAUAAUUAAAAUUAAAUAUCCACGAAACUUAAAUCUGUCCUCGAAUCUAUGAAUUUUGAAGAACAACAAAUGGCAAUGUGUCAUCGUGAGGUGAUAAAAAUAUUUAAUAAGUUGUGAUGUACUGAAAAUAAAUAGUGCGUUAUAUUAGGCCAACUCUAAUUUUUUUAGUAACAUAAAAAUUAUCAUAUACCUAAUUGACCCGUAUAGAUUUUCACGAGACCUAUUUAUAUAAUCCCAUAAUUUAUAAAAUAAACAUUUAUGGAAAUUGAUAUAUCUGAAUUACUUGUUAUAAUUUGAUUUUUAAUAUAUAUAUAUAUAUAUUUGUAACGUAAAUUUUAAUUUAAGAAAAUAGUCAAAUGGGUAGAUGAAAGAUUAUGUUUUUUUGAAGUAUAUAUAUUAUAUUUGAAUAUAUAAGAUUAGAAAGUGUGAGUAAUGAAUUGGGUUAGUGUGUAUUAUUUAUUGUAGUCAACUUUUUGGUGAGAUUCCAUUAAAGAAGAGGGUGAUAUUAUAUGAUCUUUUAGUGGAUCUUCUACACUACAUCAAUAUAUAUAAUAUAUAUUAAUUUUUAAUUUAUAUUUUUAACCCUAAUAAAUUUCUUAAUUAAUCUAAUUAAGCAAGAAUUUCAGAUAAAAUACUAAUAUGAGGUCAAUAAACAAAGACAUCUCACGGUCCACAAAAGGUCCACCAUAUGCUUCGCAUGAAAAGAGGGUCAGUCUCAUAUCACAGCCGUCCGUUUCGCAGAACAUCCCAUCUUACCCCGUGGGUCACCACAUCAGAACAAAAAUAAAAUUAUACGCAAGAUUUGGAUAUUAAUUUUGAAUUAAAUUAAAUGAAAGAUUUUAUGCGUAGGGUAGAGUGCCAAGAGUCAACACCAGUUUUUUUUACACCAGUAAUUACGUGCCACGUCACGAUUGUGCGUGUUGCUUUCCGCAGUGCAUAGAAACUCCCUCACCUUAAAUUCACCAAUGAUGACGUGGCAAUCACCCGGGAGUCAGUCACUGUGGACAAAUCGUUACAAAGACCAGACAAAUCAAAGCAGUCGUUAGUCAACUCUCCCCACUUUCUUCUUCGUCUUCUUCUUUCACCAUUAAACCUUUUUAAGCUCAAAAAAAACUCUAAGGAAUCAACUGAAAAUGGGGACCACCACCACCGGNNNNNNNNNNNNNNNNNNNNNNNNNNNNNNNNNNNNNNNNNNNNNNNNNNNNNNNNNNNNNNNNNNNNNNNNNNNNNNNNNNNNNNNNNNNNNNNNNNNNNNNNUAGUUUCAUACCCGCGUCUCAUAUCUCGCAUCUUUACCUCUGUACUAAGAAUUCACCGCCGCAUACGCAGGUGGCACCGCCGGCGUCGGCGCCGUCUCGUCACUUUCCAUCUUCUGUGGGAGAUAUCGACUCUCCUCCUUUCCCCUUUGAUUCGUCUUUCACUCACUGUCUUCCCCCUAUGGCCUCGACGAGUCUGUUAUCAAGACCAUCCCUCUCUCUCUCUAUUCGCCUUCAUCCUCCAAACACGUCAAAAACAAAUGCAGAGAAUGCGCGGUGUGCCUGCUCGAGUUCGAGGAUGGCGACUACGUAAGGACUCUCCCGGUUUGUUCUCAUUCGUUCCAUGUGGACUGCAUCGAUAUCUGGCUGAGGUCUCAUGCCAACUGUCCCCUCUGCCGCGCUGGGAUCUUCGGUUCCGGUUCUUCUCCUUUCAUCCCUCUCAUGGCAGCACGAAUCAGGCCCAGCCUCGACGAGUCUAUCCUCCAGAGCAUGGCUAUCGACACAGUCAACGAAGCUCCCCAGUCGCACAUACCCUUUAACCCAACCUCUACGGUGACGGAGAUCACGCCCUGCCUGGAUGAACCAUCGCCAAGGAGAACGGUGAACGCCAACUCAGAAGAAAGGUUUGGCGGCCAAGGAUUCUUGCUCAAGAGAUCAUACUCUUUCGGAUUCGAACGUAGUCUCGCCUCGGAGAGGAUGGUGAUGGAGCCGGCAACAGCGUCGCCGUGGAGGUACAGGAGAGGUGGAGGAUUUUGGAGCAAACGACCAUCCCCUUUCGGAUCACUAAAUAAAACAAGAGUAUUCUCGUUCAGACACUACAGAGGUAUGAAAUCUCCAUUCUUCAGACGAAGAGGAGGGGGAGGGAUGUUCUUCCCAUUAUCCGAAACAAACGUGAGAUUCUCCGGCGGCGGCGGGUCGUCCCGGAGAUCAAAGUCGAUGACGAGUCCGAUGUUCUUUAAGCCAGCGACGGCGGCUUUAGGUGUGGGAAUUUUCUCGUCGAGCCGGUUGCGGUGCGGGGAUCCCGAGGCGCUGCUGUCACCGGAGAGAUAUCACCGAAGGUAACAGUAAGAAGAGAGAGGAUUAAACGAGACACGUGGAUGCAUGAGGGAGAUGCUGUAGAAAAUUGACGGUCAAAGAUGGGGCGGUGACGGAGGGUUGGGGUGAUGGGUCCGGCCAAAUUAAUGCGGGAGAGAAAAAGGAGUAUUAAGGGAUUCGCGAGAUAGAGAGGAGUUAAUGAGAAGGUCUGGCAAAUUGUAGCGUGUCAUUAAUUGGAGGUGGGGAGGGCAUUUAAUGACUAAAAUUGACGAAUGAGAAGAUUUUUUUAAUAAAAAAAAAUACUCAUACAGAGAUAAGGUAUGCAUACUCUAUACCCUAUCCCCUCUCUCUCUCUCUCUUUAGGGCUAUAAAUGUGAAAUCUGCCACCCUUCGUUUUGGGACUCUUCACCCCUUAUUAAAGACACUUGAUCGGAUCCGGAUUCGGAUUCGGAUUCGGAUUCGGGUUGAAUCCGAGAGUUUUGUGACUGUUUUGUACAGGCAAAGCCUGAGAGGAAUUUUACGGUGUGUGCAUAUAUAACAUGAGUUGUUUCGCAAUUUAAUCAGUAAAAUUUAUAUUUUAUCUACGUAUUUCACAAUUUACCGACGGUAAAAAAAAGGGAUUAAGAAAUAAUUUGUGUUAAUUGUUAAUUAGUGAGAUGAAUUAGAUUUAACACAAUUCAAAGCGUGCCAACUUCUAAAAUUUAGUUACCUUGGUUUUUACCAACAUAUUAGUAAAUAAAUUAUUAUUAUUUUACCACGUCCAUAAUUUACUUGCAAAAUUUACAAAGUUAAAAAAAUCAUGUGAAUUUAUUUUAAAAUUUCACCAGUGCUUCCCAAAUUAUAAAAAUAAUAAUAAUGUCAAAUAAAAAUUAAUUACGAGCAUUAAAUUUUUAUUAAUUUAAAUACUAAUAUUUAUUUAAAAGAAGUUACAAUUUAGUAGAAACUAAUAAUUUAUUAACAAUUUAAAAAUUUAAUUCGAGGGUAAUAUUUAAUCUUUCACCUUUCGGUAAAAGUUAUUUUUUAAUCGGGCCGGGCUUGAUAUGCAGCUCAGUCCAGUACCCGAAUCCGACCGGGCCUGUUUGUGCAGGCUUAUUAUUUUUAGCCCAACUGUCGGCUAAUUCACAGGGCGUAAAAGCUUGGCAAGGGAGGGGUUAGGGUUUUAGCUUCACAGAAUCACAGAGCUAACACCUGGAAAUCGACCGGUGAGGAGAAAUCAAGACAUGUUUCCUGGAAUGUUUAUGCGUAAACCAGACAAGGCUGCGGCCUUGAAGCAGCUACGAACGCACGCAGCAAUGUUUGGUUUGUGGGUCGCGGUGAUUCGGGUCACGCCGUACAUUCUUCACAUCCUCUACGAUGAGAAGGAGGAGCUCAAGCUCGAACUCUAGAUUCCUCCAACUUCGUGAUUCGAAUUUUUCGAGGUGAGUGAGCAGAUCAAGUCUCUUUUUUUUUUUUUGGCUGGCUUAUUUUGUUUUGUUGGGUUUGGGUAUUAAGAAAAGAUAGGAGAUUUUUCUGCUUCGAUCUCAAAGCCAUAAGAGAUCGGUUUGAUUUGUAAGCUUAAAGGAGCUCGUGGUUUGUUGAUUUGAUAUUGCCUAUGGUGCAAUCAGACGUAAUUUGAGAACAAGCUACGGUUGUCUGCACCCUAGAGCUCGUUUUUGUCCAAUAUGAUUUCUGUUACUUUAUCGUUCAAUUAGUAGGUUGUUUAUGAAUUUAGAUGUAAUUUUAGUCUUUGAGUAGUAAGGGAAUAAGAAUUGAAUUUGAAGCAAUUGGAUAUUAAGGUGCUUAGAGCUAAAUAAAACUUGACAACAGCUCAGCUUAUCUAUAAACGGCAUUUAACAGUAGAGUCAAGUCAUGUUUAAGGUAUUAGAAGAAGUCAGAUCUGAGGAAAACUUGACUUUCCGGAGAGUGACAUUCAAAUAGGAAAUUAAAACUUGAAUUAGCUACAAAUUAUGUUUUUGAAGUGAUAAAGAAUGUGGGAAUCCAUUUGGAUUUAACUUUGGGUGGUUUAUAUAGGAGAUUUAUUAUUAGAGCGCAAUGAGGAGUGAGUAUUAAGGAAGGAGAGUCCUGUUGAGAACGAAUAAUAUAAGUGGGGAAUUAUUAGUGGCUUCAAUAAAGGAGGGUACUUUCUUUAGUUGCCUUGACUUAAUAAGACAUGCCAUUUUACUCGGUUUUCUUUCUAGUUAAGUUUCACAAUAUUGAGAAGAAAGGGAGAAUUCUACAGCACUAAUUCGGGUAGGAUAUCUACCUGUGUUACUCUUAUGCAAAGGAAUGGAGCGGAAAGGGAAGGAAACAAAAUCUAUGGUUUUUGAAAUAAAUGAAAAGAAACAUGUUUCUUUGUUUGAAUUACUAAAAGUUGAAAAAGUAAAGGAAGGAUUGUUGUAGUAUUUUGUUUGGUUAAACUUUAUAAAGGAAAUAAAAGGAUUAGUUUAAUCUCUUUCUUUCUUUUUUCUUUGCCCCCAACAUGGAGGAAUAAAGAUUUGGCGUUUAAGGAAAAAAGAAAGAUGUUCACUAUCCAUCCAUUUUCUUUACCAAUUAUUCAAUUCAAACAAAUGAAAGGAGAGUGAUCUUCCUUUCUUUUCUUUCUUUCCCCAUCCCUCCUUUUUCCUUACUGCUUAUUCGAUUAAAAAAGUUGAAAGGAGAGUGAGCCUCCUUUCUUUCCUUUCCUUUCCCCCCACUUUCUUUAAUCCAAAUACAGUUUUAAUUUCCUCAAGUAGCAAAGAUUAGAUUUGGCUGUAGAUAUUCUGGUUAGUGGUUAUCUUAAUUUUUCAGGAAAGUUACCAUCCAAAUUUCCUGUUUCCAUCUGCUUAGUUUUAAGAGUGUCUCUUUGACUGAUGAGAAUGUUGCUAUUCAUUUUUUUUUAUGAAUGGUGGAAGUGGUUACAUAUCAGAUUGAAUCAAAAUUUAUUUUACUAGGUGAUAUUAGUAGUGCAGUCAGAUAUCUUCUUCUUCCAUAUACUUUUUGCCAUAUAAGGACAAAUAACUGUUAAUUGUAGCUUAACUUGUUGAUAACAGUAUUAUUACUUUUUGCAAAGCUGGCAGAUUUUCUGAGCAUUUUCUAUUCCUGCUGCUUGAAAUUAGUUCAUUAUUAGGAUUGCUUAUUGAAUUCCAACUGUUCCAGAGUUGAACAUAUUAAGAGUUUUGUUAAAUGCUGCCUCAUGGUGAUGGUUUAUUCUAUCAGUUGAAACUUGUGAAAGCUAGAUGUUUGUUGCAUACAACUCUUCAUUCAUCUUUCUUAUAUCGGAGAAUUUAGCAUGCUUUUUGUGUCUUCCUAUUAUUGUAUGGCUAAGAAGUAGAUUGUUAUUAUAUGAGUUGUGAAGUAUGUGUUGGCUGUACUAAGUGUGAUAUUAAAACCAGUUUUUGUGAGAUUAUUUCACUGCACCUGUAUUUUAUCCUAUCAUAUUGACGAGAAAGAUGGUGUAGGUGCCCCACCCAUUCAAGAAAACUUUUGUAGUCAUCUAAAUUUCAGUUAAUUGCGCGGAACAAACUCUUUUUCUAGUAACUUAUAAUUGAAGUUUCCAGCCAUUCAUGUUCUGUUAGCUUUUGCUAAAUUGACCUUGGAGAUUAUUCAAAACUUAUUUUACAACUGAGUUUUUAUCUUAAUUUUCUGCCAUACCACGUAAUGGAUAGCCAUGCUUGCUAAUUUUAUUUCUUCUCCUAGUGGUGCAGUGGGUCUAAGUGAAGAUGAAUGGCAUGGACUUGGGAAGAGCUUGUGUGAGGUUGUUUGUGUUGUUCUCAACCUGUAAGGCUAGUACAUCCAGACACUGAGUCGCGGUUGUGCUUACUUUUAAGUCAUUACAAUUAUUAUUGUCAUCAAACGAAAUUUAUAUCAGAAAUAUAAAAUUCAACAUCCUUUCAGUUUUUUCUUGCUUGUAGUAUAUGAAGAUUGAUUUGUCCAUUUGGAUGAUAUACUGAUUAUGUAUGUUUUCUUCUAUCUCGCCCCUGACUUGGAGCUAAUGUCUCUCAACACCCGAAAUAAAUCUUGCAAAUUCUAUUUCAGCCAGUUGACUAUUGCUUUGUCUUUCAUUUUCUUGCCACCUUUCUGCCUCCUAGAGGCACGAGAUAGGCAAGAAAGAGUGAAACUAUGCGAUGCUCUGGUUUCUGACCUUGUACUUACCCGGUUGCUUGUGAGUUGUGAUAAAUUCUAUUAUGUAUUGGUUUUGAAGUUAACGAGUGUUGUUGAUGACAUUUAGACUAGCAAAAUUUGACAGAAUCUGUUUGCAUGAUUCCUUUAGACAUAGGGUUUGGAUUCGAGUUAGAACCGUAUUUUCUCCUACAUUUAUAUAGGAGGUUGUAUAAAUACAUGUAUACAUGUAUUUUUAUUAAAAAAAUUUCAAUAUAAAUUUUGUGUUUAUAUAGAAAAUUGAAAAUGUGAUUUUAUGGGGUCAUAGUAGUGGGAUUUAGAGAAAUCAUUUUGGUAUUGAAUGGUGGCAAUUGUGCUACUUGAUAUAUACAUAUAUAUAUAUUGCUUUUUUACAAUAAACACCUGUAAGUUAUGAUAUUAUUCAACUAAUUUAUUUCAUUUUGUUGUCAAUGGUAAUCAUGUCAUUCAAUGAAUCUAAUUCUCAAAAUUAAAGUAUAAAAAGAUAAAUAUAACCUUUUUUUUCAG
rnacentral:lncRNA from 1 species